CUGCACUGAUUUUGUUGCCAUUCUUUCAGAUUUUUCUCUUAAGUACGUCUAUUGGGGUUUAUCACUGGGGAAUUGCCAGCUUUGCUGAGGGGAAAAACAUCUUUAAUUUAGAAAUAUUUUUUUUUUCUUGUGACAGAAAAUGAAAUAUAAGUUAUCAUCAGAUUUUCAAACCUGGGUUUGAAAAUGGAACUUGGAGAAGAAUGCAUGAUCCUAACAGUCAAGAGGAAUUUCUUCAUGGGUUGUCUGACACUGGAAUGAGCUCUCCAGGUUCCCUUUAGGCACUGGGAAGUAUCCCUGGAGUUUCUUCCUCAGGCUGAACAGCUCUCAGCCCAGUGUCAUACCAGCAGUGCUCCAACCCUCUGAUGGUCUUGCUGGCUCUCCUCUAGACCUGUCUAACAGGUCCACCUCUUUCUCCAGGCUUGUGUGAUGUGGAGAAUUGCUUCAGCACAGAGAGACUGCAAACCUGUUCAAUUAAAGGAAAUGCUCAGAUCCAGCUGUUGGAGUCCCAUGAAUGCCAGUACUCCUCACAGAGUAAGACCAACACACUCUGCCCUUGGAACAGAUACGAUGAUUUGUGCCUUAAUUCUCCAGAAAAAAAGAGCCUUUGUUGGGAGAGGACGAUUGGGGAAUGGAGGAGGAAUGCAAAGCGUGUGCAGAAAAUGCCCAGUGAGACCAAGUUUUCUGCAGAUAACACAGAGGGCUCUAUAGCAUGAGCCCGGUAACAAGGCACCAUCGAAGCACGUACGGUACAAGCUCCUGUUACAGCUAUAGAAUUGUCUUGUACGCUUUGUAAAUGCUUUCCUCUCAUGAAAAAAAAACAUGCUGUGGAGUAAUUUACCCUGUGCUUUCACUUCCAAGGAGCAGGCCAACAAGCACAGCCCUGGUAUGUGACCACACAGUGCACUAUUUGUGCCUGGGCUUUCAGUUUCCUUAGUUUUGGUGACAAGUUUCUUGUCGGUGACAGAAGUGUUGGGCCAGUGUUGGAUGGUCACCUAGAUAUGCUAGAUGAUUUUGUACAGGUGUUUUUAUAAAAGCCCUUUUAUAUCUUUUAUGUAUAGCUAUACUUAUCAA